CUCAAACUAAGAAUAGGACUGUGACUGAUGAAGAAGGGCGACAGCGAUGGGGCCACGAGGAGCUUUGCUUGCUUCCUGCCAGGGAUUCCGUCUCUUCCCAUUUUUCAUGUCUUUGCCUCCCUCGUGGCCGAGCUGUCUGUGGCAGCAGAACCCUCCCUGUGGUUACCCCUCCAGUCUCGGUGCGUUGCUACUGUGACACAGGACAAGUAGGAGCCUGCAGAUGCCAAGGGUGUUUAAAGUGGCUUGCAGAGAUGUCACAGUAAAAUAGCGUUAAAAAAAAAGUUGACACCAUCACGCUGAAGAAAGCCUGGUAUAGGAAAAAAAAAAGAUGUUCCCAGGGAUGACUUGGGUGUACACGUUUCAUGCCAUGGGAUCCUACACUCUCUGCUGGUGGUACAAUACCAACUGGAUUCUGAACUACUUGGCAGCCAAAACA